UUGGAGGGCAAGUCUGGUGCCAGCAGCCGCGGUAAUUCCAGCUCCAAUAGCGUAUAUUAAAGUUGUUGCAGUUAAAAAGCUCGUAGUUGAAUUUCGGGAUUAGUACGCUGGUCGUGCCUUCGGUACGUACUGGUGUUGCUGAUUUCUACCUUCUGACGAACCAUCAUGUCAUUAAUUUGGUGUGGUGGGGAAUCAGGACUGUUACUUUGAAAAAAUUAGAGUGUUUAAAGCAGGCUCGCGCUUGAAUACAUUAGCAUGGAAUAAUGAAAUAGGACGUUGAUCCUAUUUUGUUGGUUUCUAGGAUUGACGUAAUGAUUAAUAGGGAUAGUUGGGGGCAUUAGUAUUCAAUUGUCAGAGGUGAAAUUCUUGGAUUUAUUGAAGACUAACUACUGCGAAAGCAUUUGCCAAGGAUGUUUUCAUUAAUCAAGAACGAAAGUUAGGGGAUCGAAGACGAUCAGAUACCGUCGUAGUCUUAACCAUAAACUAUGCCGACUAGGGAUCGGAUGAUGUUAUUUUUAAUGACUCAUUCGGCGCCUUACGGGAAAC
rnacentral:rRNA from 1 species